AUAAAUGAUAUGGUUAUGAUUUAUGCACAGGGUAACUGCCCCUUCUCCCCUCCGGCUGAACCAAAAAAAUGAAAAUAAAAGAGGAAAAGAAAAACAAACAGAAAUAUUUUAAGGUAAAGGAAUAUUUACCAUAUCUAAAUUGUUUACUUUUCCAUCAUGUGACCAUGAGGUCACGGGUUCGAGCCGUGUAAAUAACCUCUUGCAGGUAGGCUGCGUACAAUAGACCCUUUUGGUCGGGCCCUUCACUGGACCCGGCGCAUAGCGGGAGCUUAUUGCACCGGGCUGCACUUUUAACUUCUUUACUUUCCAUUUCCUUUUGUUGCGUUGAUCGUCUAAAUUUUUUGGUGAAGGCAAAGUUGCUAUAACAACAUGUUGCUAAGCUUUGCUUAACAUCUAUUCUUCUGUGUAUGGGGGUUAUGACUAUUUGGCAGCUUGACUGCCUUUGUUCAUCUGCCUCUCCUGUGUGUUUCAACCUCCCUAUUACUUGCUGAGUACAAUAAUCCUAGCUCUUUGAUGCAUGCGAGCCUUUGUUUUUUCCAUGAUACAUUGGUGGGACAUGGGACAAAUAGUUGGACAUGAAGGGAUUGAAUUCCUGACUUGAAUUUGGGAAACUUGAAAAAUAUAUUAUUAAAGCAACAGAAUUUAAAUUCUCAUGUGAAACAUUUCCAAUUUUUUGAAGAGAAACCAUUUAAAAGAAGGUUAGCCAAUAUAGAUAACACAAAUGUUAUAUUGUCCGAGUAUCUACAGUAAAGAAAACACACAAGACAAACACUUUUUAUUUACUGGUGUCUUCUUUUCAACCUGCAGGCUUUUGUCUGCUGCUUAUUUUGAUUGGCUUAUGAAAUAAGCCCCACGGAGUUGGGGAUGAUGGUGCUUGUUAAGUUAAAGUUCUCGUAGAACAUUAUCAUGCCG
rnacentral:lncRNA from 1 species